GGGUGAGUAAUGUCUGGGAAACUGCCUGAUGGAGGGGGAUAACUACUGGAAACGGUAGCUAAUACCGCAUAACGUCGCAAGACCAAAGAGGGGGACCUUCGGGCCUCUUGCCAUCGGAUGUGCCCAGAUGGGAUUAGCUAGUAGGUGGGGUAACGGCUCACCUAGGCGACGAUCCCUAGCUGGUCUGAAAGGAUGACCAGCCACACUGGAACUGAAACACGGUCCAUACUCCUACGGGAGGCAGCAGUGGGGAAUAUUGCACAAUGGGCGCAAGCCUGAUGCACCCAUGCCGCGUGUAUGAAGAAGGC
rnacentral:rRNA from 1 species